GAUGAACGCUAGCGGCAGGCCUAUCACAUGCAAGUCGAGGGGCAGCAUAAAAUAAACUUGUUUAUUUGGUGGCGACCGGCGCACGGGUGCGUAACGCGUAUGCAACCUACCUUACACAGGGGGAUAGCCCGGAGAAAUUCGGAUUAAUACCCCAUAGCACUAUCGGAUGGCAUCAUUUGAUAUUUAAAGCUUUGGCGGUGUAAGAUGGACAUGCGUCCUAUUAGCUAGUUGGUGAGGUAACGGCUCACCAAGGCUAAGAUAGGUAGGGGGCCUGUGAGGGUGGUCCCCCACCCUGGUACUGGGACACGGACCAGACGCCUGCGGGAGGCAGCAAUGAGGAAUGUUGGUCAAUGGGCGCAAGCCUGAACCAGCCAUGCCGCGUGAAGGAUGAAGGUUCUAUGGAUUGUAAACUUCUUUUAUUUGGGAAUAAACCCCUUUACGUGUAGAGGGCUGAAGGUACCAAACGAAUAAGCACCGGCUAACUCCGUGCCAGCCGCCGCAGUAACAC
rnacentral:rRNA from 1 species